rnacentral:rRNA from 1 species
AUUCCAGCUCCAAUAGCGAAUACUAAUUCUGCUGCAGUUAAAAAGCUCGUAGUUGAACUUCUGGUAGGACAGAUCCGGCCUUUGGAUGAAUGUCCAUUGUAUGCUGUGUGUCUUGUCUGGCCAUCCUUUAUGUCUUUUAGGCGUAAUCUUUCACUGUAAAAAAAUUAGGGUGUUUCAAGCAAAAGUUAUUUGGAAUAUAUUAGUAUGGGAUGAUAAGAUAGGCUCUUGAGUGCUACUUUGUUGGUUUAUACACUUAGAGAAUGAUUAAUAGGGGUAGUUGGGGGCAUUAGUAUUUAUUAGCUAGAGGUGGAAUUCUCUAAUUUGAUAAAGACUAACUUAUGCGAAAGCAUUUGCCAAGGAUGUUUUCAUUA